rnacentral:rRNA from 1 species
CAGCAGCCGCGGUAAUACGAAGGGUGCAAGCGUUAAUCGGAAUUACUGGGCGUAAAGCGCGCGUAGGUGGUUUGGUAAGAUGGAUGUGAAAUCCCCGGGCUCAACCUGGGAACUGCAUCCAUAACUGCCUGACUAGAGUACGGUAGAGGGUGGUGGAAUUUCCUGUGUAGCGGUGAAAUGCGUAGAUAUAGGAAGGAACACCAGUGGCGAAGGCGACCACCUGGACUGAUACUGACACUGAGGUGCGAAAGCGUGGGGAGCAAACAGGAUUAGAUACCCCAGUAGUCCCUGUCUCUUAUAC